rnacentral:rRNA from 1 species
UGGGGAAUAUUGGACAAUGGGCGAAAGCCUGAUCCAGCCAUGCCGCGUGUGUGAAGAAGGUCUUCGGAUUGUAAAGCACUUUAAGUUGGGAGGAAGGGCAGUAAGCGAAUACCUUGCUGUUUUGACAUUACCGACAGAAUAAGCACCGGCUAACUCUGUGCCAGCAGCCGCGGUAAUACAGAGGGUGCAAGCGUUAAUCGGAAUUACUGGGCGUAAAGCGCGCGUAGGUGGUUCGUUAAGUUGAAUGUGAAAGCCCCGGGCUCAACCUGGGAACUGCAUCCAAAACUGGCGAGCUAGAGUAGGGCAGAGGGUGGUGGAAUUUCCUGUGUAGCGGUGAAAUGCGUAGAUAUAGGAAGGAACACCAGUGGCGAAGGCGACCACCUGGGCUCAUACUGACACUGAGGUGCGAAAGCGUGGGGAGCAAACAGG